GGGGGUGUAGCUCAGUUUGGCUAGAGCGUCUCGGUCGCAUCGAGAAGGUCGUGGGUUCGAGUCCCAUCACCUCCACCA
rnacentral:tRNA from 1 species